CUUGACGAUCAUAGAGCGUUGGAACCACCUGAUCCCUUCCCGAACUCAGAAGUGAAACGACGCAUCGCCGAUGGUAGUGUG
rnacentral:rRNA from 1 species